AGGGAUCGAACUCGGGUCCUUGAGCUUGCCCAGCAGGCGAUGAAACCACUGAGCUAAAUCCCUGGCCUCUGAAAAUUUAGUUUUAAAGUGGUGUGUGUAUGCUUUGUGAUUCCAAUUGGAUGAGGCCAGAGGUCAUUUAGAUGGAUCACAAACUGCAGGAGUACUGUGUACUAACUUGGAAGUAUGGACAAUUGAAAGCUUCACACAUGAGAUAAAUGCACGCAAAGAUUCCUCAGAAGUAGCUCUUUGGAUCUUCAGAUGUGAAAUGGAUCAUUCCUCAAUCUGUAAUAGAAGCUUCUGUGAAGCUUUGCAAUCAAACCUGAGAAGUCAAGGUGAAAUUGAAGGAAGGAUGGAAAACCUCUAUGUGUUGCAUUUUGUAGCAUCCUAAACAGAAGGAUAUUGCAGGGAGCUGAUUCUGCUUUGAUCCUUGUGCUUGUUGUCAAAGCGCUUGGGAUUGAAGAGACUGUUGGCUACAAUUGACUGUGACAAUUAGGAGAUGAUCAGAGCCCUAGAGUGGAGCACUUAAAGGUUUUGCAUUUAAAACACUCUUGGAGCACUAACUCUUUUUAAGGAGGUAAUGAGUGAAUAAAUGAAAAGGCAGAGAUUAUUCACCAUUCUAAAAGGAGAUUGUCAGACCAUUUCUACUUGACUAAAAUUGUUUUUGAAGUACUGGAGAUUGAACUCAGGGACUUCAUAUUGGCCUACAUCCAAUAUUUUGAGACAAGGUCUCACUAAGUUGCCCAGACUGGACUUGAACUCAGAAUUCUCCUGCUUCAGCUUCCCAGAAUGCUGGGAUUACAGGUGGAGAUUUUGUUGCCUUUAAC
rnacentral:lncRNA from 1 species